UACGUAGGGUGCGAGCGUUAAUCGGAAUUACUGGGCGUAAAGCGUGCGCAGGCGGCGCAGCAAGUCGAGUGUGAAAUCCCCGAGCUUAACUUGGGAAUUGCGCUCGAAACUACGGUGCUGGAGUGUGGCAGAGGGAGGUGGAAUUCCACGUGUAGCGGUGAAAUGCGUAGAGAUGUGGAGGAACACCGAUGGCGAAGGCAGCCUCCUGGGCCAACACUGACGCUCAUGCACGAAAGCGUGGGGAGCAAACAGG
rnacentral:rRNA from 1 species